UACGUAGGGGGCAAGCGUUAUCCGGAUUCACUGGGCGUAAAGGGAGUGCAGGCGGCACGGCAAGUCUGGUGUGAAAACCCGGGGCUCAACCCCGGGACUGCAUUGGAAACUGCCGGGCUGGAGUGUCGGAGGGGUAAGCGGAAUUCCUAGUGUAGCGGUGAAAUGCGUAGAUAUUAGGAGGAACACCAGUGGCGAAGGCGGCUUACUGGACGAUGACUGACGCUGAGGCUCGAAAGCGUGGGGAGCAAACAGG
rnacentral:rRNA from 1 species